AAUGUUCAGUCCCAGGAGCACACUCGGAUACAGUUCCCAAGUAUGUUUUAAGGUUAGAAGAGGCAUGGGACUGUUCUCGUUCUCACUUUGGGUGUGACCACUCUGCUUUGGAGGUAGAAGGGUCUGGUCAGUAGGGUGGAGUGUCUGGCUCAGCGUCCACAUGGAAAAAAGCAAUAGAGCAUUUGCAAUGAACCACAAGAUUUUUUGGAUGAGAGUGGAAUUUUCUGACAUAAAUACUUAAACAUUUUACUGGUUUUCUAUGAAUGAAGAAGCACAUACACUUUCUAACCAGCUGUUCUUCAGAGAAAAUGGUUAGAGUGAAAGGAAGCAAUACAUUGGAGAAAUAAGAAAAUUCCCUCAGUUCAAUAAAGAAAAACACCGUACACAAAACUGUAAUAGCUGAGGUAGUACUGAAUUCCUUCAGGAGUAAGAGUACCAUUUUAGAAAAGAUGUCUUCCUCCUUUAUGAAAUUGGUUCAACACUGGAGCAGUUUGCACAGAGAGGUUGUAAAGUCUCUGUACUUGAAGAUGUUUUAAACACAAUUGGACAUGGCCCUCAGCACCCUGCUCUAGCUGACCCUGCUUUCAGCAGGAGCGUGGACUAAAUGAUCUCCAGAGAUGCCUUCCAUGCUCAUUAGCUCAGUGGUUCUGUCAAUAACCUCCUAAGGGGCAUGGUAGACUGCCCAUCACUGGACUCUUUCAAGAUAUAGUUGGACAGAAUGCUAGAUAAUUUCAUCUGUGCUCCCUUUCCCCAUGAAAGGCUGGACCAGAUGACCUUUGAAGUCCUUUCUAGCCUGAGCUGUUCUGUGAUUCUAGGAAAUGUGACAGAGACCUGAGUACACAGCUUUUAGAGUCAAACUAGUAGGAAUUGGUGCUGGAAUAAUUCUUUCAAAUGUAUUUUUUUUGUUUGUUUUGUUUUGUUUGUAUGUGGAGUGGAUUAACAAAUAAAUACUAUGC
ensembl:lncRNA